GUAUUUCAGCUGCGUAAACAGAACCUGAAUGUUGCAGAUUAAAUGAAGAAAAUAGUCACGUAUCCAGGACGGAAUAUAAAGUUCUAUUGCAUCUUUUCGUGUAUAUUUUAUCAUUUUUCAACUUCAAAAUACGAUUUCUUCAAUGGAUCCAACACCAGCCAGUUACGGUGGCUCACGCCUGUAAUCCCAGCACUUUGGGAGGCCAAGAUAUCCUUGAAGUUAGAAGCACUUAGGAAAACAUUUGCUUUGAGUGCAUUGUAUAGGACCACAUUAACUGAUCCACCUAUUGAAACUCAAGUGAAAAAUAUUAAUACCAGAUACCCAAAGUUCUGUAAGUAUAUAAUCCCAAAUUCCAUAGUUUGUCAUCUAUAUUUUUAUUUUGUUCUUCCUUGA
rnacentral:lncRNA from 10 species